UCAUCAAAAGCAGCUAGUAAAGUGAUUCUCUCCACUAGUGAUGCAGUAAUAGAUCCAUCCGUCCCAGAUCACAUUGUACAUUGAUAAAUACUUGAGCAAAAUAAGAUUUGCUAAUUUCCUCUUUUUGACAUAAAAGUAUUCCCACCAACACCUAACUAUCAGCUUCGUGAAGGCUUUCAAAAUCUGCUUCUAAGGAUUUAGUUGAGGACAAGUGUUGUCAGCUAGCUAACAGUUAGGAACUGGAUGUUUACUUAGAAUUUUGCCCAUGGGAGGGAUAGUUUCAGAGUUCAAUUGAUUUGGGCCGAAAGCCACCCGUGGCGGUAGAAGUAGUGGCGGCUAGGGUUGGCUUGGGAAAAUAAGAUGAAAAGAAGAUAAAGAGAGGGAAAAAGAAGGAAAAGAAAAUAAAGAGAAAGGAAAUAAUUUAUUUUUGUAUUAAAAUAAAGUCUUGUUAUAUUUCCGUUACCAUGGUUGAGUGACACUUUUGUAAUAGUUUGAAAAAUUAAUGAUUUUCAAAAGUUCAAUGAUAAAAAUGAAAUAUUAAUCAAUGUUUAAUUAUAUCUAAUGUAAUUUACUUAAAAUUAAAUG